rnacentral:rRNA from 1 species
CUUCGGUAAUGACGUUAGGAAAGCGAGCGGCGGAUGGGUGAGUAACACGUGGGGAACCUGCCCCAUAGUCUGGGAUACCACUUGGAAACAGGUGCUAAUACCGGAUAAGAAAGCAGAUCGCAUGAUCAGCUUUUAAAAGGCGGCGUAAGCUGUCGCUAUGGGAUGGCCCCGCGGUGCAUUAGCUAGUUGGUAAGGUAAAGGCUUACCAAGGCGAUGAUGCAUAGCCGAGUUGAGAGACUGAUCGGCCACAUUGGGACUGAGACACGGCCCAAACUCCUACGGGAGGCAGCAGUAGGGAAUCUUCCACAAUGGACGCAAGUCUGAUGGAGCAACGCCGCGUGAGUGAAGAAGGUUUUCGGAUCGUAAAGCUCUGUUGUUGGUGAAGAAGGAUAGAGGUAGUAACUGGCCUUUAUUUGACGGUAAUCAACCAGAAAGUCACGGCUAACUACGUGCCAGCAGCCGCGGUAAUACGUAGGUGGCAAGCGUUGUCCGGAUUUAUUGGGCGUAAAGCGAGCGCAGGCGGAAGAAUAAGUCUGAUGUGAAAGCCCUCGGCUUAACCGAGGAACUGCAUCGGAAACUGUUUUUCUUGAGUGCAGAAGAGGAGAGUGGAACUCCAUGUGUAGCGGUGGAAUGCGUAGAUAUAUGGAAGAACACCAGUGGCGAAG